GAUUAAGUUAUUAAGGGCGCACGGUGGAUGCCUUGGCACUAGAAGCCGAUGAAGGACGUUACUAACGACGAUAUGCUUUGGGGAGCUGUAAGUAAGCUUUGAUCCAGAGAUUUCCGAAUGGGGAAACCCAGCAUGAGUUAUGUCAUGUUAUCGAUAUGUGAAUACAUAGCAUAUCAGAAGGCACACCCGGAGAACUGAAACAUCUUAGUACCCGGAGGAAGAGAAAGAAAAUUCGAUUCCCUUAGUAGCGGCGAGCGAAACGGGAAGAGCCCAAACCAACAAGCUUGCUUGUUGGGGUUGUAGGACACUCUAUACGGAGUUACAAAGGACGACAUUAGACGAAUCAUCUGGAAAGAUGAAUCAAAGAAGGUAAUAAUCCUGUAGUCGAAAAUGUUGUCUCUCUUGAGUGGAUCCUGAGUACGACGGAGCACGUGAAAUUCCGUCGGAAUCUGGGAGGACCAUCUCCUAAGGCUAAAUACUCUCUAGUGACCGAUAGUGAACCAGUACCGUGAGGGAAAGGUGAAAAGCACCCCGGAAGGGGAGUGAAAUAGAACCUGAAACCGUGUGCUUACAAGUAGUCAGAGCCCGUUAAUGGGUGAUGGCGUGCCUUUUGUAGAAUGAACCGGCGAGUUACGAUUUGAUGCAAGGUUAAGCAGUAAAUGUGGAGCCGUAGCGAAAGCGAGUCUGAAUAGGGCGUUUAGUAUUUGGUCGUAGACCCGAAACCAGGUGAUCUACCCUUGGUCAGGUUGAAGUUCAGGUAACACUGAAUGGAGGACCGAACCGACUUACGUUGAAAAGUGAGCGGAUGAACUGAGGGUAGCGGAGAAAUUCCAAUCGAACCUGGAGAUAGCUGGUUCUCUCCGAAAUAGCUUUAGGGCUAGCCUCAAGUGAUGAUUAUUGGAGGUAGAGCACUGUUUGGACGAGGGGCCCCUCUCGGGUUACCGAAUUCAGACAAACUCCGAAUGCCAAUUAAUUUAACUUGGGAGUCAGAACAUGGGUGAUAAGGUCCGUGUUCGAAAGGGAAACAGCCCAGACCACCAGCUAAGGUCCCAAAAUAUAUGUUAAGUGGAAAAGGAUGUGGCGUUGCCCAGACAACUAGGAUGUUGGCUUAGAAGCAGCCAUCAUUUAAAGAGUGCGUAAUAGCUCACUAGUCGAGUGACACUGCGCCGAAAAUGUACCGGGGCUAAACAUAUUACCGAAGCUGUGGAUUGUCCUUUGGACAAUGGUAGGAGAGCGUUCUAAGGGCGUUGAAGCAUGAUCGUAAGGACAUGUGGAGCGCUUAGAAGUGAGAAUGCCGGUGUGAGUAGCGAAAGACGGGUGAGAAUCCCGUCCACCGAUUGACUAAGGUUUCCAGAGGAAGGCUCGUCCGCUCUGGGUUAGUCGGGUCCUAAGCUGAGGCCGACAGGCGUAGGCGAUGGAUAACAGGUUGAUAUUCCUGUACCACCUAUAAUCGUUUUAAUCGAUGGGGGGACGCAGUAGGAUAGGCGAAGCGUGCGAUUGGAUUGCACGUCUAAGCAGUAAGGCUGAGUAUUAGGCAAAUCCGGUACUCGUUAAGGCUGAGCUGUGAUGGGGAGAAGACAUUGUGUCUUCGAGUCGUUGAUUUCACACUGCCGAGAAAAGCCUCUAGAUAGAAAAUAGGUGCCCGUACCGCAAACCGACACAGGUAGUCAAGAUGAGAAUUCUAAGGUGAGCGAGCGAACUCUCGUUAAGGAACUCGGCAAAAUGACCCCGUAACUUCGGGAGAAGGGGUGCUCUUUAGGGUUAACGCCCAGAAGAGCCGCAGUGAAUAGGCCCAAGCGACUGUUUAUCAAAAACACAGGUCUCUGCUAAACCGUAAGGUGAUGUAUAGGGGCUGACGCCUGCCCGGUGCUGGAAGGUUAAGAGGAGUGGUUAGCUUCUGCGAAGCUACGAAUCGAAGCCCCAGUAAACGGCGGCCGUAACUAUAACGGUCCUAAGGUAGCGAAAUUCCUUGUCGGGUAAGUUCCGACCCGCACGAAAGGCGUAACGAUUUGGGCACUGUCUCAACGAGAGACUCGGUGAAAUCAUAGUACCUGUGAAGAUGCAGGUUACCCGCGACAGGACGGAAAGACCCCGUGGAGCUUUACUGUAGCCUGAUAUUGAAAUUCGGCACAGCUUGUACAGGAUAGGUAGGAGCCUUUGAAACGUGAGCGCUAGCUUACGUGGAGGCGCUGGUGGGAUACUACCCUAGCUGUGUUGGCUUUCUAACCCGCACCACUUAUCGUGGUGGGAGACAGUGUCAGGCGGGCAGUUUGACUGGGGCGGUCGCCUCCUAAAAGGUAACGGAGGCGCUCAAAGGUUCCCUCAGAAUGGUUGGAAAUCAUUCAUAGAGUGUAAAGGCAUAAGGGAGCUUGACUGCGAGACCUACAAGUCGAGCAGGGUCGAAAGACGGACUUAGUGAUCCGGUGGUUCCGCAUGGAAGGGCCAUCGCUCAACGGAUAAAAGCUACCCCGGGGAUAACAGGCUUAUCUCCCCCAAGAGUUCACAUCGACGGGGAGGUUUGGCACCUCGAUGUCGGCUCAUCGCAUCCUGGGGCUGUAGUCGGUCCCAAGGGUUGGGCUGUUCGCCCAUUAAAGCGGUACGCGAGCUGGGUUCAGAACGUCGUGAGACAGUUCGGUCCCUAUCCGUCGUGGGCGUAGGAAAUUUGAGAGGAGCUGUCCUUAGUACGAGAGGACCGGGAUGGACAUACCUCUGGUGUACCAGUUGUCGUGCCAACGGCAUAGCUGGGUAGCUAUGUGUGGACGGGAUAAGUGCUGAAAGCAUCUAAGCAUGAAGCCCCCCUCAAGAUGAGAUUUCCCAACUU
rnacentral:rRNA from 1 species